CAGAAGAUGAACACGAAUCGGUGCCAAUUUCUUCUAAUGUCCAUGAGUUGCAUUGGAACGUUGAAUCCAGGAUAAACGCGAAUUCCCUUCUGGUCAUCAGCCAGACCACCAGUCUCAAGAAUGCUCAAACCCUCAAGAAAAUCCUUCCUCUCCCCGAAUUCUUCUGCCAACUUUUGACCAGCAGGAAAGAAAAAGAACAUUACGUCCUCUAACCAAGCAGCAGCAGAUGGGGGAGUGGCAGAUUUACAGACCAGCAAGAUUCUCCUACGCGCCAACAACGAUAGAUUCUUCACUCUCUGAUCACUUCCGACCGGGACUAGAAGACUCUUUGGAAACAACAUCAGGAGAUGAACAGGAACCGGUGCUAAUGUCGUCUAAAUGUCCAUGAGAUGCAUUGGAACGUUGAAUCCAGGAUAAACGCGUAUUCCCUACUGGUCCUAUGCCAGACCACCUGUCUCAAGAAUGCUUAUACACUCAACGAAAUCCUCUCUACCCCCGAAUUCUUCUGUCAAAUUGUGGGACAUUGUGGAGGGAGUGUCACUCUGUGCUUGACACGGGGAUUCGACGAGAGUGUGAUGGGAAGGGGUGAAAGGAGUUUCUCUCUGUGUCUGACAGCGGGAGUGUGUGAUAGGACUGUGUGGAGGGAGGUUCCCUCGGUGUCUUUCCCUGGGAGAGUGUGAUGGGACGCUCUCAAUAGAACCGAUAUUGAAUGUGAUGAGGAUGGACGGGAGGGCGAUGAACUUUCCUCAGCCUUCGCAAAAAGUAGAGACGCUGCUGGGCUUUCAUUUCUAUGGAGCUGGUGUUGAGGGACCAAAAGAGAUUCUCCGUCAGGUGAACACGAAAACUUUUGGUGCUCUUGACGAUCUCAACCGAGGAGCCGUCGAUGUUCGGCGGGAGUGGUCGCUCCGUGCC